rfam:Rattus norvegicus chromosome 3, whole genome shotgun sequence.
GGGGAUUUGGCUCAGUGGUAGAGCGCUUGCUUAGUAAGCGCAAGGCCCUGGGUUCGGUCCCCAGCUCCA